ensembl:lncRNA
AGGUGGUUUUCAGCCCUGCAAAGUUUUCCUGACUCUCGGUCAGUGCUGGCACCAGCUGUAACUGAACCAGUUUCACACUUUAGCCCCUUUCUCAAGCAGUCUGAAUCUACAACCUGACUGAUCCAUAAUGAUAAAUCUAUACACACUGGAAAUUAAGAUGCUCUAAUUCACAAGCAACAAACUGAGCGCAGAAAACACUGUGACUGGCUGCCAGGGACAUACUGAGAAAUUCCCAUUUUCCCCUUUUCCACGAGCACUCAAACACAUAAGGCAGAAGGAUGAGGUAAUGUGGAAAUACAGACAAACCUCUCCCAGCCCUGGGAGCUGAUGUGCCUUCAGCAGAAACGUGUAGUUACCAAAACCUGCUCUCCCUGCAGCUCCCCUUGCAACAGCCCAAACAGCAACGUGCUCCUUCGGGAUGCUUCAACCAUUAGGGCACACCUAAGCCUUCAGUAGGCAAACUUCCCACAUGCCAAAGCAAAAGUUUUCCCCCCCAAAAUCUCUAUAUGGGGCUUUAUUCAGCUUCUAAUGGGUCCUCCAAACAAGUCAUGAAAGAAGCAAGAGUUGCAACAUCAAAACUAGGGUUUCUCUGGGUCACAUUUUAAAUACUUAUCCCUGAGCUUCUGUGUAUUGCAAACAACACACCGUGAACCCAGAGAAACGCCACAGCUUGAUACUGACAUCCCAUGUAUUACCCUUGAUUUACACAUCAUCUACAACUUAAAAAUUAGCUUCAUACUUAAACUAGUUCCCCAAGUUUCCCCCUUUCUCCUGCCUUUUAUGUGGCAGGGAUGAUUGCCGCUUAUUAUCCUGAGAAAGAACAACAUUUUCACAGACACCAAGCUUCAUAGCUUCAAAUCAAAACCAAGAAAGAAGAAAGAAUGAACGGUAAAUAGCACAUUCACAGGAGAUCUUUUUUUUUUUUUCCAUUUUUUUCAUUUAAAAAGAUGUAGUAAAGGUAAAAGAAAUUCAAGUUUUUUUAAAAAAAGGUUGGUUUGAAGGACAAGACUUAAACUCCUUCACCUGAGGCGACUGUGUUCUGUGCAGAGGCCUGAAGAGCAAGAUCUGAUGUGUGUGGCAGAGGGAGGGACGGGCAGCGAGUGACACUGAUGUGAGCUUGAGCCUUAUGGGCAACAGCAGGGUGAGGGCACAACCACCCAGGGCUCCCCCCGGGAGCAAGAGCAGCCCUGCAGACACACUGCAGUGCCCAGAGCUCUGCUUGCUCCGACAGGCUCACUCCAAAGCAACACCAGAACACCAGGAAAACGGGUGUUCCUGCAGUUGUCAAUGCGACUGACUGCUUUGCACUGAUCACCCUAAAAAUACCAUGUUCCCCUUUAGUGUUUGGGUGAUGGGAGCUCAGGAUUUGAGGUACAGAAGGAUCCAGAGCUGCACACCACUGACCCAAAGCAUGCAGUAGCUCUGCACAGCUCUGCGGGCUAGCAGGCAGAUGAGAAUGAUGAACACGACCGCAUUAUUAACAAUUAGAAAGUAGUUAAUGCACAUGCAAAAUGGCUGGAGAGUUACCUCCUGCUGCAGCGGUUUUGCCCUGCCCAGAGCCCAUCAGUUUCGGGGUACCUGGCACCUCUGAGCACCCUGGUUGUCCCCCAGCCCUCUCGAGGGGCUGGGCACGCUGAGGACAAGGACUCGCUACUGACACACACAGUGGGGUCAAGACUCAGCAGCCUGACCCAAAGGCAGGCAGUGGAAGAAAACUCAGUUGCUUUCAAAAAGCUUUUGUUCAGGUCCCAGAGUCUGGCCACUUGCACUGGGACUCAGCCCCAUCAGCUGGAGCACCAGUUUCUGCUCUGUUCUCUGCACUGGGUGACCAGCUCCAACCUGUAAAACAGCAACUAGGACACCUCAGCAAAGCCCUUCUGAAUGCGUGAGCCUGAGCUCUUCAAAUUUAUGUCCCAAAUCUCUGUUCGGAUUAAAAGUAACUCUUCAGCCUUCCACCUGCACAAAUGCUAUGAAGGAGAGGAGGGGGUCAGUCAGCCAAUUUAUCUUUCAAAUCGGGGAUAAAAAUUGACUUGUCAUGGCAGAAAAUUCUACCAAAGACUAUUAUUGUUGAUUGAUUCCUCUAUGACAGAAGGUCAGAUAAGCAAGAGCAGAUAGAUACCAAAGAUAAUGAACUUCCCCCUACUAGCAUUAAGCACAAAUAAAAUAUGAGUCCCUGUAAACUGAAUGUUACGUGAAGAAUGGAACAAAAAUUCCAACCUUUCCAGGGUGUCCUUCAAACCAAAUUCACAAAUACAUCUAGUGACUGACCUAACGUCUCUACAUCUCUAGCUACAUUCCUACCUUCUCAUAAUACCUGAGUUUGCAAUGCAACACAUUCACUUUACCCUGUUUAAAAAAUACAAGUCAUUAGAGGACUUGGUGCAGAAGAUAUUAAGAAUGACUGUCCGGUGAGCUAGAUUCUGGUUUGAUACUUUAGCUUUUUCCUUACUUGUCAGUUUAGCAAGGCUUUUCUACUCCCUAAAACAAAUGGGUUAUUUGGAAACGGAUGCUGCUGCCAAUCAACCUUUGUAAAAUUUGCUUCAUACAACAGAAAGUAGAACAUUCUUGUCCAUUCAUCAUCAGAAAUGAAUUUAGGGGUUUUCGUCAUUGUUGGUACAGCAUUAGUCUUGGGAGUCUAUUUUGGAUAAACACAGAAUACCUAAUAGAUUAUUUUUGUCCGAUAUUUGGCAAUAUGAUGACCACUUUUAUGUACACUAAUUAAAACAAACUCUUAUUCACCAACAGAUCAUAAUAAUUCAGUAACUGCAGAAUAGAAUUACUCCUAUGCAAUUGUAACAGUUCCUUGAGUGUAUAAAACAGCGAGCCAGAAGAUAACCCGUAAUAAAAAGAUCAUAUCAAGCUAUUUGGAAAUCAAACUUAAAAGCUGAGAAAUACUUCCUAACUUACAAACAGAUAUACUAACAUCUUCCCAUUUACACUUGAGGUAUGUAUGCAGAAGGCUUUCCUGAGAAAUACUUGCUUGUCCCAUUUGACAGUGAGAAAGUAAAUGAGAUUCACGGAACCACCUUUGGAUUGUGGAGCUCUGUCAAGCUGAACUGCUGCUGGGCCCAGCAGC